UACGGGGGGGGCAAGCGUUGUUCGGAAUUACUGGGCGUAAAGGGCUCGUAGGUGGCCAACUAAGUCAGGCGUGAAAUCCCUCGGCUUAACCGGGGAACUGCGUCUGAUACUGGAUGGCUUGAGUUUGGGAGAGGGAUGCGGAAUUCCAGGUGUAGCGGUGAAAUGCGUAGAUAUCUGGAGGAACACCGGUGGCGAAGGCGGCAUCCUGGACCAACACUGACACUGAGGAGCGAAAGCCAGGGGAGCAAACGGG
rnacentral:rRNA from 1 species